rnacentral:rRNA from 1 species
GGAAAUGCGCAGAUAUCAGGAAGGAACCCCGAUGGCGAAAGGCAGAUCUUUGGCCCGUAACUGACGUNAGAAGCGAAAGCGUGGGAAGCGAANCAGGAUUAGAUACCUUGGUAGUCCACGCCGUAACGUUGGCGCUAGAUGUAGGACCUUUCCACGGUUUCUGUGUCGUAGCUAACGCAUUAAGCGCCCCGCNUGGGGAGUACGGCCGCAAGGCUAAAACUCAAAGGAAUUGACGGGGGCCCGCACAAGCGGCGGAGCAUGCGGAUUAAUUCGAUGCAACGCGAAGAACCUUACCAAGGCUUGACAUACACCGGAAACGGCCAGAGAUGGUCGCCCCCUUGUGGUCGGUGUACAGGUGGUGCAUGGUUGUCGUCAGCUCGUGUCGUGAGAUGUUGGGUUAAGUCCCGCAACGAGCGCAACCCUCGUUCUAUGUUGCCAGCGCGUUAUGGCGGGGACUCAUAGGAGACUGCCGGGGUCAACUCGGAGGAAGGUGGGGAUGACGUCAAAUCAUCAUGCCCCUUAUGUCUUGGGCUUCACGCAUGCUACAAUGGCCGGUACAAAGGGCUGCGAUACCGUAAGGUGGAGCGAAUCCCAAAAAGCCGGUCUCAGUUCGGAUUGAGGUCUGCAACUCGACCUCAUGAAGUCGGAGUCGCUAGUAAUCGCAGAUGAGCAAC